GGUUCUAUAGUGUAAUAGGUAAACACAUCAGGUUUUCAACCUGAAAAGUCUGGGUUCGAUCCCCAGUAGAAUCACCA
rnacentral:tRNA from 1 species